CACAACUCUCUUGGAGUUGCUCUCUGUGGACGCUCGGAACAGGGGUGUGCUUUGCAGGUACGUAAUCCAUACAUGACCACAUCGAUUGAUUUCAUCUGAGCUGGUCCUAGUCAAUCCAAUCCCUAUCUUUGUUGGUUCGCUGGAUGGAUGGAUCGCUCGUCUUAGAGCAACUACAAGAGAGUUGGUGAAAGCUCCCAAAAACUUUUUCAGCACUCAACCGGUGAAUUUUUGGUCUCCAACAGAGCGCCAUUCAUUUCCCAAUUUUUUUUUGCCACGCCGCAUCCACAGCCCCACCCCCGCAUAUUUAGCGAACCAAGGUUUCCCCAAUCCACACACGUGUAGCCUAGUGGUUUGCCGCGUUGCUUUCCACCGUCUCGCGCUCUUCUUCGUGGAGCCAUGACGGAUUGACGGGACGCGACAGCGAGAGAGCCAUCUUCGUCGGUGCUGGAGGUUGCAGCGGCAGAGUCGAGGCAAUGCAUCCGUUAAGGCCGACUGCUUCGGAUCUGCAGGCAACAGCUUGCGGUGAUACCCAGAGGAAGCGUGAGAUGGUGUCCGGCGACACAAGUAUGGACGGGGUUGGAGACCACAUUCCCCGUGGUGGAGUCGAUCUGCGAGGCCUAGCCCGCCGCCGCCACCAUCGCGCGUAUGGCCACGGUGGUGCUCGAGCGUUAGAAGUUCUUCCUGGUGGUGCUCCAGCGUCAGAAUCUAGUCAAUGGGGAGGGGUUCUUGCUAAGUGCUAUUUAAUUGCUUUGUUUUUAGUCAGAUUGAAUGCUUAAGAUAUUUGGCAUCAUUAGAAUGUUCCCAUCUCAUGAAAUGGUAGAUUUGUUUUUUUUAUGGGACACAAUAUAGCUCCUUUUUGUUUUGAUCUGGUGUUGUAAUGCCAGAUUCAUGCCAUGCUAAAAAGAAGUUAAAAGAAGUUUGAUUAAUGUUAUGUUAAUCCAAGUAGUCUCUUGUGCCUGGUUUCCUCUUAUGUGGAGGAUAACCUGAUGUUCAGAGUGAACUGCGUUUGAUGUUUGACACAACCUGAUGUUCAGAGCGAAAUGCUUAUGAUGCUUACUAUACUACUUUAGAAGGUUCAUUAGACUAUAACAUUUUUGUUUGCCCCAAGAAAAUUACUUUUGUAUUUAGGCAGUGGGAGUGAAACUGAACAUGCUGCUAAUGUAUUAGCUUGUGUGUACCAUUAUCAAGAUAUUAUACAGUAUGUAUGCUAAGUGAAGGCACAAAUCCACACGAUUAUGGUGAUUUAUGCUCAUAAGAAGCAAUAUUACAUGAGGCUACGAUCUAAUAUAUUGUCUGAAAAUGCAUAAUGUUAUAGGACAUAUUAGGUGUUGAUUUGUCUUUAGCCAAACUAUUUGUUUUUUUAUAACUGCAGUUAGGUAUCAUUCUUUUGCAUUAUGUAACUCGAUCUGCACAGUUAGCUUGUCAUAUAUAAUUCACACAACAUGUAUCAUUUUACAUUCAUAAGUACUAGUUGUUCACAAAUUUUUGUUGGAAAUCAUCUCAUUACUGGACGGCUUGCUCUACAUAAUGCAGGUUGGUGCCUGGACUGCUUGCUCUACAGAAAACAGUCUAAUGUCGUUGCUAUUCAUCAGCAAUGGCGCACAGAGAAGUGUCAUAGGCAAAACAGAUUGAAUCUGUUUCCUACUUUUCCUUUCCUACUUUUCCUUUGGGGUGUACUCCGUAGCACGGUGUACAUGGAGCUGCUUUGGGCUAUGGGCUUUUCACUGACCAUGAGACUUGUUUUAAAUAUUGGGCCAAAGUUCAAUUUGAGCGAGCUGUUGUGCGUAGGCCUGGGAAUGGGCCAUAAAAACUCAUGGGUAUAAAGGGCCUCCAAAUUCAUGUGCUGAUAAUUUUGGAUCUUUUUUGGUUCACUGUUGAUUAGGGUAGAGUUGGAUCAAGCCAUUUCAUUAAAAGGAGCAGCACGGAUCGAUCAUCAAACCUGGCCCAAUCGUGUGCCCGGAUCAUGUGAAGGGCACAACCCAUGGAUCAUGUGUAG
rnacentral:lncRNA from 1 species